UACGAAGGGGGCUAGCGUUGCUCGGAAUCACUGGGCGUAAAGCGCACGUAGGCGGAUUGUUAAGUCAGGGGUGAAAUCCUGGAGCUCAACUCCAGAACUGCCUUUGAUACUGGCGAUCUCGAGUCCGGGAGAGGUGAGUGGAACUGCGAGUGUAGAGGUGAAAUUCGUAGAUAUUCGCAAGAACACCAGUGGCGAAGGCGGCUCACUGGCCCGGUACUGACGUUGAGGUGCGAAAGCGUGGGGAGCAAACAGG
rnacentral:rRNA from 1 species